rnacentral:lncRNA from 1 species
AAACAGGUUAGUGCAACUUAGAGAAACCCAGCUAUUCUUUACUUUUUCUAAUUAGCAUUUUUUUCUAUUGUCACACAGCCACCGGGUCCUUCAGUCUCCAUUUCUUUUUCUCCCGUGAGAAUCCGUCUCAUAGCACCAAGUGCUUUUAAAGAUAUUCGUGAUACACAGAAACCUCUUUCUCUGCUAUCAUUAAUCAUGCCCAUACCUUUGAGACCACCAGUUGUAAUUAAUAAUAAUUAAUAAUUAUAUCGUAAAUAUGCAGCUACCAUCUUUUUUGUAGCAUUGGGAAUUAAACCCCAGGCCUUUUCACUGAGCUACGACUGUAGCUCUUUUAACUUUGAAUUUUUAUUUUGAGGUAGGGGCUCUCUAAAUUGCUAAGCUACCUAGACUGGAAUCAAACUUGUGUUCCUCCUACCUCAGCUAAACAGAGUACUACGAUUACACGGAUGUGCCACCACCAUGCCUAAUUUAACAACUUCUUUAACACAAGGGAGUACAAGCAGUAAGCUGGGCAUAGUGGCACAGACCUGUUAUCUCAGCACUUGGGAGGCUGAAGCAGGAAGAUCUCCAUAAGUUUGCGGCCAGCCUGGGCUACGUGGUGACCUCAGUACCAGCCCAGAAUACACAACGAGACCAUGUCUUGUACAAAACAAAGCAAAACAAGACAAGAAAAGAAGACAGACCAGCCUACUGGAGAAGUAGAAGCCACAUAUUCAAGUGUUCACUAAUUGUCCCAGAGAACUGCCAGAGAAUUGGUGAACACAAGUAAUUCUGAGACACCCACCAGCCAACCUCCAAUAGAUAUUAACAACAGAUAACCAGAAAAAAUAAAGAUAAAAAUUGCAUAGAUCCUUGGACCACGCAUGUAUCUGUGGACCUUACAAGACAUAUUUAGUUUGUUAGAAUAUUUAUGGUGAUAGUUCAUUUUAUAUGUCAACUUAACUGAGGUAAGUGAGGCUCGAAGAUUUUCUCUCAAUGUGUCUCAGGUCUGGUAUGGUUGCAUACGAUUGCUGUUAUACUAGUCAGCUUUCCUAUUGUUGAGACACAAUACCCAAUGUUCAUAAUUUAAAGGAGUUUAUUUGGCUCAUGGUCUUAUGGGUUCAGUCCAUGGUUGACUGGCUCUGAGGCAGAAACAUCAUGGGAGAAGGACAUGGUGGAGCAAAGAUGCUUAGGUCAUCUUGCCUGAUUAAAUGAAGCAGGGAAUAGUACCAAAGGGAGGGAAAGACAAGGGAUCAGAUACAGUCCCCAAGGUCACCUCCAUGACCCACCCAGACACUCCCAGAAAUGUGCUUUAUUAAUUCCCUGGGUAGAUCCCAAAGCCCAUCAAUUUGACAUAAUGGAGGUUGAUGAUAACAAGUAUGACUUGUAAGCUAUUGUAAGAGACAAUUCCUGUAAUCAGCCGCAUGAUAUAUUUUACUUUUCUUAUCCAAUUGGCUCUAUUUAUCUAGAGAAAAGCCAUGAACAACACACUUGCUGACAUACAUUUUGUAUGAAUAACCACAGUGAAUAUCCAUCCUCAAGUCGGUUUCCUCUUUUUUGUUGAGAUAUAAAGACUAUUUGUCUUUAUGCUAUUGUAAUUUUAUGCAUGGAAGUGAGAUGUUUCCUCUUAAUUUUCAGCUUGAUUAGUUAGACAGACACUUAGGAAAGUAUUAAAACACAAUUCUGUGUGUG